AGAGUUUGAUCAUGGCUCAGAUUGAACGCUGGCGGCAUGCCUAACACAUGCAAGUCGAACGGCAGCACAGCAGUAGCAAUACUGUGGGUGGCGAGUGGCGGACGGGUGAGGAAUACGUCGGAAUCUGCCCAGUCGUGGGGGAUAACUAGCCGAAAGGUUAGCUAAUACCGCAUACGACCGAGAGGUGAAAGCGGGGGACCGCAAGGCCUCGCGCGAUUGGAUGAGCCGACGUCGGAUUAGCUAGUUGGCGGGGUAAAGGCCCACCAAGGCGACGAUCCGUAGCUGGUCUGAGAGGAUGAUCAGCCACACUGGAACUGAGACACGGUCCAGACUCCUACGGGAGGCAGCAGUGGGGAAUAUUGGACAAUGGGCGCAAGCCUGAUCCAGCAAUGCCGCGUGUGUGAAGAAGGCCUUCGGGUUGUAAAGCACUUUUAUCAGGAACGAAAAGCGUUGGAUUAAUACUCUGACGUGCUGACGGUACCUGAGGAAUAAGCACCGGCUAACUUCGUGCCAGCAGCCGCGGUAAUACGAAGGGUGCAAGCGUUAAUCGGAAUUACUGGGCGUAAAGCGUGCGUAGAUGGUUCGCUAAGUCGGAUGUGAAAGCCCCGGGCUCAACCUGGGAACUGCAUCCGAUACUGGCGGACUAGAGUGUGAUAGAGGAUGGCGGAAUUCCCGGUGUAGCGGUGAAAUGCGUAGAGAUCGGGAGGAACAUCCGUGGCGAAGGCGGCCAUCUGGAUCAACACUGACGUUGAGGCACGAAAGCGUGGGGGGCAAACAGGAUUAGAUACCCCGGUAGU
rnacentral:rRNA from 1 species